rnacentral:rRNA from 1 species
UACGAAGGGGGCUAGCGUUGUUCGGAAUUACUGGGCGUAAAGCGCGCGCAGGCGGUCCUUCAAGUCAGGGGUGAAAGCCCAGGGCUCAACCCUGGAAUGGCCUUUGAGACUAGAGGACUUGGGUACGGGAGAGGUGAGUGGAAUUCCGAGUGUAGAGGUGAAAUUCGUAGAUAUUCGGAAGAACACCAGUGGCGAAGGCGACUUACUGGACACAUAUUGACGCUGAGGUGCGAAAGCGUGGGGAGCAAACGGG